rnacentral:misc_RNA from 1 species
GUUUGAAUGAUUUAAUUUCCAUUGUAGCUUGCUCUCCAUUGUUAGGUUUAAAAUCUUGUAGACAGAAAAACUAUAAUGAUAUUUGCCCGUCUUCUAAGAGAAUUUGCCUUGAGUAACAUUGCUAUGUCUAGGGCAAUAAUAGAAAUCCAGGCAGACAAGUAUAAGGUCACUGAUUUAAGUCUGGAGAGCAUCCACUUCACAGAAAGUGAAGGAUGCAUCUUUUCCAGAUU